ACUAAUUUUUCUAAAACAAUUUCAGCUUUCGUUUGAGCGCAACUUACAAAUUUCAACUUGUAAUAUGAGCGCUAUUUAGUGCAGUCAUGAUAUUCGUUAAAAGUAUAGAAUGCAUUAGAGUGGUGUCAAUGGCACUAAACCUUUCUCUGGUAAAUCAGUUGUGACAUGGACAUGUCGCAUGCUAUCAUCACCGCAUCACUAGUAAUACACCCCUGUGUUGGUAACUAUAAAGAAAUAAAUAGAUGUGGGAGAAAUGCCAGAAAUGUAGUGCCAAGUAGGGUAAAAAAGGAAAUCCUUCAAGUUAAUCUAGGCUGAGAAAACCUUGUUAGGCAGGAAAGAAGAAACAAACAAACAAAAAAAUAAAGCAAAUCUUUCAACAUGUCUACAGCUUUACUAAACAUACAAGAUACUAAUAAAAGUACAUAUGAAAAAAAAGAAAAAACACAUUAAAUAAAUGCCUCUGCUAGAAGAGAAUACUAAGCUAAUAAUCAUAUAAUUAGUAUUUAAAAAUUUCUGAAGUAAUGAAGUAGAAUAUUAUUGAAUAAGACAACGUCAUAUAUAUUCAUCUGGUGCACAUUCCUGACCUAUGAAGUACAUCUAUCUUUAAUUUAGCUAUCAUGGUUUAAUGGAGAAAAAAGGUUGUGAAAAGUGUGGGUCCAAGUGCCACUAUAUCGCCUAGAUUACGAGUUUUGAGCGUUAUAGGGAAAUUAACGAACGCAACAAAAGUGGCGUUAUUUAAUCCCCUAUAGCGCUGCCAUUACAAGUUUUAAAAAACCUGGCUUGUGCAUGUGAUAUGGUGCUUUUAAGCUCCAUACCGCACACAAUACAAGUGCUGUUUUGACGUGCUCGUGCACGCUUUCCUCAUAGACAUCAAUGGGGAGAGCGGGUCAGAAAAAAGUCUAACACCUGCGAUCGCGGAAAGAAAAGCUCCGUAAGGCAGCCCCAUUGAUGUCUAUGAGGGAAAAAAAAACUAACGUUUAAACCUAACACCCUAACAUAAACCCAAUGUCCGAAUACCUGCCUACAGUUAUUACCCCUAAUCUGCCGCUCCCAAUAUCGCCGCCACCUAAAUAAAGGUAUUAACCCCUAAUCUGCCGCUCCCGAUAUUGCCGCCACUAUACUAAAGUUAUUAACCACUAUUCCGCCGCACCCCAACAUCGCUGCCACUAUAUUAAAGUUAUUAACCCCUAUUCCACCACUCCCUGACAUCGCCGCAGCUAAUUAAAGGUAUUAACCCCUAAACCUCUGGCCUCUCACAUCACUACCACUAAAUAAACCUAUUAACUCCUAAACCGCAGCCCCCCAAAUCGCAACAACCUAAAUUAAACUAUUAACCCCUACACCUACCCCUAAACCUAACCCUAACGUAACCCUAACCCUACCAUAAUUAAAAUAGAUCUAAAUUAAAUUUACAAUGAUUAACUAAAUAAUAAGUAUUUAAAACUAAAUACAUACUUACCUGUAAAAUAAAACCUAAGCUAGCUACAAUAUAACUAAUAGUUUUCUUUGUUUUUUUUUUAUUUCACUGGUAAGUUUGUAUUUAUUUUAACUAGGUAGACUAGUUAGUAAAAUAGUUAUUAACUAUUUAAUGAAUACCUAGUUAAAACAAAUACAAAAUUACCUGUGAAAUAAAACCUAAGCUACCUUACUCUAAAACCUAAAAUUACAAAAAAUAAAAAACCUACCAGUAAAAAAAAAAAAAAACCUACCAUUACAAAAACAAACAAACCAAAAUUAUCCAAAAAAAUAAAAAUUAUUCCUAUUCUAAUACCCUUUAAAAAAACAAAACACCCCAAAAUAAAAAAACUACCAAGGGUCCUUAAAAGAGCCUUUUGGGGGCCCUUAAAAUGGCCUUUUGUAGGGCAUUGCCCUAAGUUGAAAAGCUCUUUUGCUUCAAAAAACAAACAAACACCCCCUAACAGUAUACAAACCCCCACCCCCAAACUACCAAAGGCCCUUAAAAUGGCCUUUUCUAGGGCAUUGCCCUAAGUUAAACAGCUCUUUUGCUGCUACAAAAAAAACAAACACCCCCUAAAAAAAUAUGUUACACAAAUUAACAAACAAAUUAUCAAAAAUAAUAAAAAUUAUUCCUAUUCUAAUACCAUUAAAAAAAAUCUAGAAUAAACUACCAAUGGCCCUUAAAAGGGCGUUUUGUAGGGCAUUGCCCUAAAGAUAUCAGCUCUUUUUGUGAAAAACAUUACAAACCCCCACCCCCACAAACGCACAAAAUAAAAACAACUAUCUAAAAAACCUAAGCUACCCAUUGCCCUGAAAAGGGCAUUUGGAUGGACACUGUCCUUAAAAGGGCAUUUAGCUCUUUUGCUGCCCAAACCCUAAUCUAAAAAUAAAACCCACCCAAAAAACCCUUAAAAAAAACCUAACACUAACCCCCGACGAUCCACUUACAGUACGGCGGUGACCGUAUGAAGAGGAUGCUCCACGCCGGAUGUCUUCAGGAUGGACCCGCUCCGCGCCGCCGGGAUCAAGAUAGAAGAUGCCGCCUGGCUGAAGAUUGAAGAGGCCGUCUGGAUGAAGACUUCUCGCCGCUUGUAUGAGAACUUUGCUGCCGGGAUGAAGAUUGAAGAGGCCACCUGGAUGAAGACUUCUCGCUGCCUGGAUGAAGAUCGUUCAAGCGGGACUUCAAAAACUGUAAGUGGAUCUUCAGGGGGUUAGUGUUAGUUUUUUUUUAAGGGUUUUUUGGGUGGGUUUUAUUUUUAGUUUAUGGUUUGCGCAUGUAAAAGAGCUAAAUGCCCUUUUAAGGGCAAUGCCCAUACAAAUGCCCUUUUCAGGGCAAUGGGUAGCUUAGGCUUUUUUUAUUUUGGGGGGUUGGUUGGGUGGUGGGUUUUACUGUUGGGGGGUUCUUUGCAUUUUUUUCAAUGCCCCACAAAAGGCCCUUAUAAGGGCUGUUGGUAGUUUAUUGUAGGCUAGAGUUUUUUUUUAAUUUUGGGUGGGCUUUUUAUUUUGAUAGGGCUAUUAGAUUAGGUGUAAUUCUUUUUUAUUUUUGAUAAUAAGUUUUCGUAAUUUAGUGUUUGUUAAUUUUUGUAGUUUAGUCUUUUUUAUUUUUUGCAAUUACAUACUUUGUAAUUUUUAGAUAAGUGUUAGGAUUUUUUUAAUGUGUAGUUUAGUUUUAUUUAAUUAGUAGUUAGUUUAAUUUUAGUUUAAACUUAGUUUUUUUAAUUUGACAGGUAAGUUUUAAUUUAAUUUAAGAUAGGGAAAUUGUUAUUUUGAUAUAAAGUUAGGGGGGGGCGUUAGUUUUAGGGGUUACUAGUUUAAUUUAGUUUAUUGUGAUGUGGGGCUUUCGGUUUAGGGGUUAAAAGGUUUAUUAUAGUGGUGGCGGUGUAGGGCUUAAUAACUUUAGUAUAGUGGGGGCGAUGUGGGCGGAUGGCAGAUUAUGGGUUAAUUAUACUUAAAUAGUGUCUGCGAAUUGGGAGGGCGGCAGUUUAGGGUUUAAUACGUUUAUUAUAGUGGUGACGAUGCGGGAGGGCCUCGGUUUAGGGGUUAAGAGGUAGUUUAUGGGUGCUUAGUGUACUUUGUAGCAGUUUAGUUAUGAGUUUUAUGUUACAGAUUUGUAGCGUAACACUCAUAACUACUGACUUUAGAUAGCGUUAUGGAUCUUGCCGUUUUAGGCUGUAACACCGUUUUUUUAGCCAGAACGCAAAACUCGUAAUACCAGCGCUAUGGGAAUCCCAUGAAAAAACGUCAUUUUAAAGAGUGCGGUUCUGAUGUUGUGUUACAGGCUAAAAGGCUUGCGGUACACCUAUACCGACAAGACUCGUAAUGUCUGUGUCAUAACGCUCAACUCGUAAUCUAGCUGAAUGUUUUCAAAAUCAGUAUUGAGGCCAAUAAAAAAUAAGAUUUGCAAUUUUAUAGAAUGAAAUAUAAUCUACCAUAACAUUUCCUUAGCAGAGCCUACUUUUUUAGUGUAACUCAAAAACAAUAAAAUAACUAGAUCAGAAGAUAGACAUUGCUUAGAAAAAAAGGAAUUGUAAUGUAAUAAGGGCAUAAAUCUGCAAGAACUCCGAUAUUGUCCAGAAGAGAUAUUAUGGCAUUAUACUGUAAGAACUCAGCUGUGUAUUCAGGAAGGGGUUAAAUCCUCAUUUAAUACUGGGUCACUGUGGAAUGUAGAAAGAUCACAUUACCAGACCCCCAUCUGAGAAGGAUGACCAGCUGGCUUAAGUAAAGAGCCGUUUGUGUAGCCAAAUGCUCCUUUUCCUCACCUAACUGUAUGGCAGGGAUGAAACCAUAUACUCUUAACAUUUCAUAAGGGGGCUUGCUUAUGAGUGACAUCAUCAUUGUGGGAGGGAUGAAAAAGGCUUACAAUAAAAGAACCAGGAUUACUGGGGCUCAUUCUCUUUCUUACCUUUGGGAUGCUCUGAGAACAUCAAGUAAGUGAUCCUUGCAGACACAUAAUUACAGCACACCAUACUUUCACAUAGAUUGGGCAAAUGUAUUAGUGUAAUAUUGAUGUAUAGUUCACUGCUGAGUAUUUAUAAGUGAUUUGCAUAUGUGUAAUUUAUAUUUAAUCUGCAUAUUGUAACUAUUUAUGUAGCCUCAUUGUAAUAAAAGUUUUGUACUGCUGGAAUAAGACUGUGUGAGUGAUAUUCUUGCAGGUAGUUUAAUUAAGCUAGUGAUUGUGUGUUAAUAUGUAUUAGCCUUUCACUAAAGAGUAUAGCAAUCAGACACUAAGAUUUAUAGAGUCUUAGGUACCAUUUUAAUGCAGUUAUUUAAUUGGCGAGCCGAACCAGCGAUAAUUUUCUUAACAACUACACUUGUUUAAAGGGACAGUAUACUGUAAAAUAGUUUUUCCCUUAAUGUGUUUACAAUUGCUUUUUUUACCAACUGCAGAGUAAAAAAAAUAUGAAAAUUAGCUUUUUAAGGUUUAUUUCUGUAUAUUAAAGCUCUGAUUUUGUGUUUUGAAGCCACAGCCUAAUAAAAUAGGUUGAGCUUGUAGGUAUAAUCAGAUCUCAUUACUGUAUCACAUUGUGCACAUAUACCUGCUUCUUUAUCUUAUAUCUGUCCUUAAAACAAUCACCAAUACUUUGAGAGAACAAUGGAAAAUCAACAUUUUAUUACCUUAUCUCUGCUUUAUCACACUGCGAGUGUAAUUUCUUCUGCUGGCUGUGUUUACAAAGCUUAUCUAUAGCUGGUACGCGCGGCCACAAACUUUCAGAAUAGGUGGGGAUACCACAUGCUAAAUUAACAAUUUCAAAUGCCAAUAUAAGGGUAAAGGAGCUACUUGUAAACAAUUUAAUACACUCCAGCAGGUAAAGUGGAUCAUUGGGAACAAAUUAAAAGGGAGAAAAUUUUUGAGUAAACUGUCCCUUUAAAGGGGGGACAAAUCCAUGUUCUUUUUAUAAUACAAGUGUGAUUUUUGGACAAAAAUUUAACCUAGUUUUUGCUAUACUGUUUUUGAGUUGAGCGUUUCAGCAGUAAAGUCUUUGACCAAGACUACAGAUCCAGAGAGGCAUUACCUAAGGAUCAGUUGAACCAGACGCAGACAAAAUCAUAUCGUGCAGGACGUGAAUCUGAUUUGCUGGCAGUCUGAAGACAUUUUAAAGUAUUUCAUUAUGUGGAGCCUGAGAGGAAUGAUCGCCACAAACCUAUUUGUAUUUGUGUGGGUGUUAUUGCACAAACUUCCAAUCUGUGACUGUAAUGAACUUUCAAUCACCAACCUCACAAGUAGUCUUAGAUGGAGCUCAAGCAGCAUCAUCAGAGGAUGGACAGGCUUCUGGAGCUCUCAAGACCUUAGCAAAGAUUGUUUGGGAAAAUUGACUUUUAAUGUGGGUGGGAAGAUUGAAAUAUUUGCAGAAAAACAUCAAGACAAUUUAAUUGGUUUUUGGAGGGUCAAUCAGGGUAAUAAAGUUGAAUGGGAAUGUAAAUGGGUGGCUUGGAGAAAAUGGACUGUAGGUCUGGUGGGAGAAGGUAUUUCUGUGUCUACAACAUUUACAAAUCCUAUUCACACUAUAAAUGGCGACAACUAUAAUAUAACCAAGGUUAUAUUUGAACAACAAAUUGGAGAAGGGAUUAAUUGGAGGGUUACAGCUGCCAACUUUGGUGGAGGGAUUGAAGUAUACUUAAACAUAGAUCAAAAAAAGGAAACAACUACUUUUGCACCUUUGAUCUAUUCUACUUUAAUUACUACACCAAAGAGGAAACAUUAUGACAAUACUCCAAUGUGUGAGGGGAAAAGUGUUGUUUCUAGCGGUCCAUUUCAAACAAGUACAAUCAAGCCAACUCCAGUAUUGAGGGAUGCCACAUUCGAAUGUAUCACAUGGAAGAUUAAAAUAAUAGAUUGGCUAGUUUCCACACAUUACCAAAAUUGUUCCAGAAUUACUGCCACUAUGGAAAAAGCAUUAGUUAAGUGGGCAGAAGGUACUAGGAGAAGGACAGUUACUCACAUAUAAUACUACCUUGGGGGCUCCACUCAUAACCCCAAUAUUAGUAGAUGAUGCACCUUGGAAAAAAUGGGUAACCUUAUUGCAAAAAGACUCUGUGUUACUAGAACAUCUUAAAAAUUUUGGGGAACGUGUUCAUGUAAAUUUCUACCAUCAGGAACAAGAACUACAAAGGAUUGAACAUACUUUUACAGAGAUGUCAAGUGCUACCUGGUGGCAGAAAUUAGCAAAUUCCUUUUUGAAACAGUCAUCAUGGGGUUCUCCAUUGGGAAAUCUGUUCAUACAUCCAUUUAUAAUCAUAUUAUUUAUUUCUAUAUUAUGUAUAAUUAUUCAAAUUUGUAUGUGUUGUUAUUUAAAAUCAUUAAUUGCACGUGUAUAUCACUUAUAUUAUGGUAUGCGGAUGGAGGCAUCCUUAGUACACUAAUAUAGCCAUCACACAUAGGUGGGGUUAGGAAGGUUCUAACAGAUUCACUCAUAUAAAAUGACCAUUGGAAUGGAAGGGUGUGGUAACCUCCAUUGCCAAUAGGGGGGAAUGUAAUAAGGGCAUAAAUCUGCAAGAACUCAGAUAUUGUCCAGAAGGGAUAUUAUGGCAUUAUACUGUAAGAACUCAGCUGUGUAUUCAGGAAGGGGUUAAAUCCUCAUUUAAUACUGGGUCACUGUGGAAUGUAGAAAGAUCACAUUACCAGACCCCCAUCUGAGAAGGAUGACCAGCUGGCUUAAGUAAAGAGCCGUUUGUGUAGCCAAAUGCUCCUUUUCCUCCCCUAACUGUAUGGCAGGGAUGAAACCAUAUACUCUUAACAUUUCAUAAGGGGGCUUGCUUAUGAGUGACAUCAUCAUUGUGGGAGGGAUGAAAAAGGCUUACAAUAAAAGAACCAGGAUUA